GAGCUACACCUUGACAGGGCUGUAGUUUGAAGCCGGGUGAGCAGAAAAGCUGAGACCAGAAGUCGUGUUCCCCUCCUGCGUCUGACCUGACAUCCUCGGUGUGGGGACCAGUGUGGUGGGCCAGGAGAGGGGACCGCUCUAUUCCCUCCAAGCUGCCCUGACCACCCCUCGCUCUUCCCCUCAUCAUGCGGCCACAGUAGUGCAUGUUGUCAUUUUACAAUGACGUGUCCCCCUGAGCAGGGGUGCAGGGCACAGGGGACAGCAGGGAUCGCUGCGUAAGGGCGUGUGCAGGACACAGACAGAGCCUUGCCCGUGUCAGUAGGAAGUGCCCUGAGCAUCGAGAUUCUAUCUGAAGCUGGAAAGGGCUUGAGGAAGUGCAGGCCAGGUGGGGACCUUGAAGGGAGGGGCCCUUCACCUUCAGUGGGUGGCACCAGACAAAGGCUUGAGGAGGGGGAAGUGCUUGCUCCUGGGAUAGCAACUCCUUUCCAGGGUAUGUAUGUGUAGAAGGAAGAAUCUGGGUCUUCUGGGUCUAGCUGGAAGCCUUGUACUUAGGAAGUUCACUUUCUUCCCUUAGGCACAGACAGACCCACAGGCAUACGCUAAUCCAGUUGGUCCAAACUAGGCCAUACUGGGCGGAGUAGCAGCUAUCUGGAAGCCCUUCGUCUUACAGGCCAGGAAGUGCAGGCAAGAGGAGAUUAAAGGCCAGCCGCACACCCGGUGACAGCCUGCUCCCAGCGGGGCUCUUCAGGACCCUCAGAUCCAGCCCACGGGAAACAAACUGUAGUUGUCUUAAUCUCUAAGCACAGCUUCCUCUCGGCAGCAUCACUUUCCAGAGCUUGGCUCACCAAGCGUCCACCCAACAAAGUCCAGGCACCAUCCUAGUGCUACGAUGUUCCAGCCAUUCCUCCAUGUCUGCCACAGCCCUGACAGUGACGCCACAAGACCUGGCCUCCAGGAGUGCUCAGUGUCUAAGAGCAGGGCUGCCUGUGGCUUACCUUGGGGACAGCACAGGGCUAGCAGGGUACACCAGUGGCCCUUGCCAGGACUAGCUCCAUGGCUCAUUUCUUAACCUAACUGUGGCUUUGUAGAUUCUGACUUCUCGGGUUAAUGAUUUAGGUGGAUUUUUUUGGCAGUUGAUUUUUGUCUGGAUGAUAUACACUUGGUAUAGAAUUUAAAAGGUACAAAAGGAAAUACAGUACAAAGGUCUUUCUCCCAGUUGUGACUUCCCACACCCUUGUCCCGCUUCCCACAGGCAACCACUGUUAGCAGCUUGCCGAGUUACUUCUAGAAACAGAUUACAGCUAUGCAAGCACUUAGCAUAUACACAUGAUAAUGAAGAUAUGCAUGUAUAUUUCCUAUCCAUUUGUUAUAGAAAUGGUCACCUACUGAUCAGCCAUCCUGCAACCUGCUUUUCUCAUUUAAUCUAGAACUACCUGACUCUUGUAUAGCUCAUGCUGCCGUGUUAGCUUGGUAAUUUUCAAACCGCCUUAUGUGUUGGCCAGGGGCAUUGUCCUUUCUGACCAUUCACCACUGGCCUCAACUUGCACUGGAGUCUUCCUGUCUCCAGCAGUUCUCUGUGCACAUCUCCGGGUUUCAGCAGUAAACUCACUCUAUUUUCUUUUUUGCAUUUCACUUUUUAAAUUAAUAUACUAUAAAUUGUUUUUUUGCCGUACAGUUCUAAGAAUUUUAAUACAUGCGCAGAUUUGUGUAACCACCAGCACAAUCAAGACAGAGGGCAGUUCUGUUGUCCCCUCAAAACUCCACAUGGUAUCUUUUUGGGUCUAUUUUCUUUUUUACUAUGUUUACAAUCACUGCACUUUAAAAAACAACUUAUGCCUGUUUGAUUCACUUCUUGAAACUGUAUCCUACUAGCUCUUUCUAAUCCAUUGUAAAAUUUUACAUUUUUGUUGGUGACGUGCUUGUAAACACUUCCAGUGAAAAAAGACUUAAAUGAGCAUGACAAUAAAUAGGAAUGUUUCUUUCAUUCUCUGUUUUUCCUUACCUGGAACUGGGAAGAAAGAGAAGAUCCGCAAAGGAACGACACAGAGCUCUGCGAAGGCAAAGUCCACUCCAAUGAUGUCUAUCAAAAUUUUCUCAGAAACGUUGGGGGUCCAGAACAUCACAAAACAGAGCUGGAGGGAAAAAGACAUGGAGCAAGCAUGUAAGGACAAGGUAUAAUGAGUGAAAUGGGAAAGGCAGAUGUUGCACAACCCCUGAGGACCGACUGUGAAAGACAGUGGACCUGCCCGAUGGGUGGCAGCCACGCUAGUCCGAGGGCUGCCACCUCCCUGCCUUGCGAAGCAGAUCAGGAAGUGUGGCAACAGGUCCUCCUGGAAGCUGGGGUAAGGGCAGGGCCCAGCACAGGCUGGCUGAGAGUCUAGAUAGUAAGCAAGCCGCUCAGUUCCGCUUCCAGUGCUAGCAACUGUGUCUCCCUGAACUUGGCAGGAAACAGGAUUUUGGUCUCUGGAUAAGGCAAAACAGGGUACCUGGCAUGGCUAAUGGCAGAGUGACUAUAGGCUGAGUACCCCUUAUCUAAGAUGCUUGGGACCGGAAGUGUUUUGGAUUCUGGAUUUUUUCAGAUUUUGGAAUACGUGCGUUAUACUUACUGGUUGAGCAUCCCUAAUUAAUUCCAGAUGGCUCCAAUGAACAUUUACUUUCCGUCACGUUAGCAGCACUCAAAAUGUUUCAGAUUUGGGGGCAUUUAGGAUUUUGGGAUUAGGGAUACUCAAUCUCUACAUGGAAAACAUACAGAUUAAGACAAGGGUGACUUGUGUGUCCCAGCUUUCUUCCUCUCCUGGGCUCCCAGAACACGGGAAAACAGUAGAGUGCCACCCAGCCCACACCAGGCAGGAGACCCAGAGUGGUCUCUGAGGCAUCUGACCAGCCCAGGAAGGAAAACCUAGAGUUCCUGAAAUCAGGGGCUCCCAACAGAGCAGGCCCACUCAGCCAGCCGUCGGGGAGGCCUGCGCAGUGAUAGAUCUCACCUCGCUGUUCGCGGCUCCCAGCCAGCUCCUAGCGCCCGCUCGUACACCCGCGGGACACCAGACCUUAACGAAGUCCUCUAAUGUGAAGAGUUCAAAACAAAGGCACAAAAAACAACACGGAGGAAACAAAUACAGUGCAGAGACAGAGAGAGGGAAAAAAGCCUCUUUUGCACUGAUGCUCUCUGAGAGAUGGGAGAAGAAACUGCAUCCAUGAAGCAAGAACAGGAUGGAAAUGUUAUAAAAAAGGCAGAACAAAAGAGAAGUUGUGGGAAUGAAAAACAUGGAGGCAGAAAUGAAAAAGUCACUAACUGACAGAUAAAGUUAGGGAAAUGUACCACAAAGGCAGAACGGAAGGAUAAAGGUAUGGAAAGUACAGGAGAAGAGACUUAAAAAGUAAAGGUCCAACAUUCAAGUAAUAGUCAUUCUAGAAACAGGGAACAGCAGAAAUCUCAGCUGACAGGUCCCAGUUUCAAGACCGAAAGGCCCAUCACAUGGAGGCAGCGGAGAGGGUGGGAGAAGACCUGCCGGGCCUGUCACCGAGUGCCUCUGGGAACAGAGAAGAGAGCUUAGGAGCUUCCGGCCUUCGGCUUCUCAACAGCUCGGAAAGCUAGAAGAUGUGGCACGCCAGACAGGGAAGAUCUGAAUGUGAGAUAAUGCCCCAAAGGAAUGUUGCAAUCUCUGGGCUUUGCAAAAUCAUUAUAAAGAGGCUUUUAAGCUUCAGAGAACCAGGGAAAAAGGAGAGUGUAAACUGCAAGUCAAGAGAAGGAUGGUGCCAGGGGCCCCCUGUGGCUAACAAAGCCAGAUUGUGAUUCUUUUCCUGAGGACCAGACACUGACCGUGAAAUGUCUGCUUUGAACUUUGAAAUACUUAUUUGUAUUCUAAGAUAUUUUGAUCCCAACUAGAGACUAGUCCCCUUGCUGUCCCUUAUUCUGCCUUCAUGAUUGCUGGGUAGGCGUCCUCCAUUCUGUAAUCGUAGGAGCCUCUUUAGACGCUAACCACCACUGGGCCACAGCUCUUUUAUCCCCAACCUCAACUUGCAGUUCUGGUCAGUAUAUGUCUUGACAAAGUGUUACUACCCACAUUAAGGUCCCCAAAUAGGUGUAGAGAGUGCAGAGGUGAUGAAGGAGGCCCCCAGCCUUACAGAAAUAGCACCCCUGGGUCUUAUGAUAGUGCAGUCAGAGUCAACUGUGACUAGAGCCACAGGAGGGAGAUCUUAACAAGAUCUGCUUCCCUGGAGGAAGAGGGAGCCCUGGGUGGUCCCUGAGCUGCUCCAGGGAUCAUCUGAGUCUCUUUCCCAAGAAUCUGAAAUUGGAUCCAAAGACUCCUAUUCUCUCCAUCAGCAUUUGAACCCGGAAAAUAUACAAACCCAGCCACAGUAGGACAGCCAUUCCUGGGUGUCCUUAGAGAAGCCGUUCUACAAGGGAACAUUACCAGGGGCUCUGGGUUUGGACUUAAUUUCCAUAAACCAUUGACUGUGCUUUUGAGGAACUCACAAAGCUGUCUCCAUUACCCUGAAUAACUGAAAUUAGUAGUAAACGAGAAGGUCUUUCACCCUGCAGUUAGAAAAAGUAAAAUACAUGCAGCUGUUUUGAGUAAAACUUAUUGGCCCUGGACCUCAUUUUUGUUUACCUGGGUUUAGUCCCCCUGCGCACCCCAGUCAGACCUGUGGUUAGCCCUGAAGGACACAAAGAGCACAAGGAGGUGGCCCCGAGCCCGGCUAGGGAUGCAAUUCCUGCCCCACGUUUCUCUGGGGUUUGCGUCUAGGCAGGUCCCUGGAGCACACCUGGCCUCAGCCACGUUCUGUGAAAUGGGGAUGGUGUCCCCCUCACAGGGCUGCUGCGAGGACCAGGGCCAGUCUGCCAACUCUUUGGACGGGUCCACGCUGAGACAAGGGGUUGACUCCAUAAAGCAAAUCAAGGCCCGGCUGCCUUCACUAAGAAAGUCUUGCCACCCAGACAACGCCCGCUGAACUAGACAUCACAGUGAUUGAGCUGAUUUACGUUCUGGUGCCGGCUCCUCCUCCCAUCACCGCCCACCGGACCACCAGCACCAGCGUGUGGACCCGAGCUGGGGAGCACAGGACACCUCUACCAGCGCGGGGCACGUUGCACGUGGUCGAUCAAUAUCGGCUGUUCUUGUACAUUUCUAUGGCUUCCACAAAGGGAUAUGUGUUCUUUUUAUCAGAAAACAUUUUAAAAUAAAACAGACCCCCGUAUGUCUUC